rnacentral:sRNA from 1 species
GCAGCGCACGCGGCUUCGUUUUUUAGUCCCACCUCGCCUAGCGGAGGGCGUCGAGCGGGAGAGCUCAUUAUAAAAGGGGAGCCAGGUGCACCCUUGUUCCAUACUUACCUGGACGGGGUCGACGGGUGAUCAAGAAGGCCCGUGGCCUAGGUUAGUAGCCCACAUUGCACUUGGUGGGUGCGCUGGCCUAUCAUCUCCCCAAGUGCGAGAGUGAACGUCAUAAUUUGUGGUAGAGGGGGUACGCGUUCGCGCGGCCCUUG